UUUAUGGAUGAGGGGCCCUUAUUUAAAGGUUUCAUGAAGGACUAUAAAGCUGGUCUCCAUACAGACUUGUCCGGUUAUGGUUUCAUGAAGAUUUUAUGACAAGACUGGAGAAAGCCUAUUAACUAGCUGACAGUGCCGAAGUGGUUAUUGUUGAAGAAUAGUGAAGCGUAUGCAAUUUGGAGAUCUCGGCAGUUAUAUGCAGUCUGGGGAUAUCGUCAGUUGUAUGCAGUCAGUGGAUUUCGACAGUUGUAUGCAGUCAGAAGAUCAUGACAGUUUUGUGCAGUCCAGGGACUCAACAGUACUUUGCAGUCCGGGGAUCUUGACAGUUGUAUGCAGUCAGGAGAUCACAACAGUUGUAUGCAGUCCGGGGAUCUCGACAGUACUUUGCAGUCCAGGGAUCUUGACAGUUGUAUGCAGUCAGGAGAUCUUGGAUCUUUUUAUACUGUUGACAUUCUCAAGAUUCUGUCUUAAAUAAAACUUACUUGGACAGCUUAAAAGCUUCUCUAUAACUUGCCUGUGACAUUCUAAAGUAGAAGACAUGUGUAUGAAUAUUUAGUUCCGGCAUGCCAUACUUGAGCAGUUGAGUUUUGGAAAGGUGGCCAUUUGAAUGAAACUAUUAUUUGGCAAAUUGACGUGGAUUUUGGUAGUAAAUAUGUUAUCAGUGGUGCAAGACUGGAAUUUUGACUCUUAAGGUGAAAAAGUGGACUAACCGCAUGAUGAAAGAUCUAUACCUUUGCACAGGCUAUAAAGAAGUGUCAUCUGUUUUCAUGGGUAGUUUCGAGGACUUUAUAAGUAAUUUUUUGAAGUUUGUGUAUUUUUGAAUGUGUUGAAGCACAAUGAGGAACCUUUGGACUUAACAGCAGUGUCAGAACAGGACAACUGGUUCAGCUGGCCGGUCUGGGACGUUCAAUGCCCAGACUGCUGGUGCCGGGAACCCCACUGACGGAACAACUAGUUUGGCUGGCUGGUCCAAGUCCUCACAGACCCAGACAGCUGGUGCCGCAAACCCCUCGGACGUCAGCAGGAAUGGAGUUCAACAUAUGGAGUCAAAAGAAACUGAAAAUACAAAACUGUUUUGAUUAGUGAUGACAACCGCACUGAAAGGACAAGUGGUUUGGCUGGCCGGUCUGGGGUAUUCAGUGCUCAGACUGCUGGUGCCGCGAAUCCAAAUGACAGGACAACUGGUUCGGCUGGCCGGUUUGGGUCCUCACAGACCCAGACUGCUGGUGCCGCGAACCCUACAGAUGUUGACAGGAAUGGAGUUCAUCAUAUGGAGUCGAAAGAAACUGAAAACACAAAACUGUUUUGAUUAGUGAUGACAACCGCACUGACAGGACAACUGGUUCGGCUGGCCGGUCUGGGGUGUCCAAUGCCCAGACUGCUGGUGCCGCGAACCCCACCGACAGGACAACUGGUUCGGGUCCUCACAGACCCAGACUGCUGGUGCCACAAACCCCACGGAUGUCCGCGGCUCUCAUCUGGUGGAAGAAACAGCUACAGGUGGUGAGCAGCAUAGAAACGAGCACUCUGGAAAUCGAGGAUAUGAUUCCAAUUGUUACCAGGCUGGUGACCUUGAUCGUGGUCAUACGGAUACGGAGGAUUUGAUAGGCAGGCGGGGAACCGCAGACAGGGCAUGAAUAAAGGACAGGGCAGGUAUCAUGGAAGAGGUGCAUCUGAUAAACAGGGCGGGAGUGAUCGUUCUAUGAGAUACUGUUCUUGAGAUCGCAGUGGGCAUGAUUCUUAUCACCCACACCCUGGGAGUUCAGUAGUAGAGGUUGACAGAGCAGAUUUCAGAGAUGAUAGGAAGACAGAGAGAGCACAGACACAGGAGACGAUAGCCGUUGAAGCCACCAACGUCUUGACUGAGACUUUUAUAAUUAUUGUAAUAAACUUGGUUGAAUGUGAAUGGAUGGAACACAAAUGGCUUCUCAGAUAAUUUUAAUUUUAGAGCAAAUUUUAUUGAUAAACUUCAUUUUGAUGUAAUUGUUAUUUCAGAAACACACCUAGCAGGUGAUAAGAUAAUUGAACUGUCUAUGUAUUUUAUGGACACAAUAGAAAAAAUAUUCACGUAAAUGCACAAACUGGUUCACGUGGAGUUUGUAUUUUUGUAAAAAGGUCCAUUUGCAUUGAAAUUUUAGACAUAAGCUAUGAGGGAAUUUUAUGGUUAAGUUUUAAAUCUAAAAAAGUUUUGAGAAAAUUUUUACUGUUUGUGCUUGCUUUUUGCCAAAAAUGGAAUCUUCUGCAUAUGUGGAGAUCAUGAUUAUUUUGACCAACAGUUAAGUAAUAUGUAUGAGUAUCAGAAAUUUGGUAAAUUGUUUAUUCAUCAGCAGAUCGGGUGUAAGAGAUAACUGGCGAAGUUCUGUACCAUUUGAAUUUGUAGAUGAUUCUGAGAUUUGUACUUCUAGCCCUUCUAGUUUUAGUUUUAAAUAUGUGGAAAACAGACUUUUAUAACUUACACUGAAUACUGACAUGUCUGUUGAAGGGAUUGCAAAUAAUGAAAGCAAUGUAUAUAUAGAUAAAUGUACUGAUCAAGACAUAUUCACAUUGUUUGAUGUUAAAACUGCUAUUUCUAAUGUUAAAAAUAAUAGAGCAAUGAGAUAUGAUGAAAUACCAAGUAUAGGUUUUACAAAUCAGGCACAGUAUUUGCAUUUGAUGUUUAAUUUCUGUUGUAACACCGGCAAAGUACCAAAAGCUUUGGGUAAAAGUAUUAUUAACCCUAUACUGAAAGGAUCUACAACCACUACUAAGGAUCCAUUGUCUUACAUGGGUAUUUCAAUCACACCAGUCGUACACAAAAUUAUUGUUCAUUGUUAAAUAAGAAACUUACCUCUUUUGUUCAAACAAACUGUAUUUUAUUUGAUGGCCAAAAUGGCUUCAGUAAAAGUCCAAGUACAAUUGUUCAUCUGUCGACUUGAUGCAGAAUAAAAAUAUGCACUUUUUCUAUAUCAACACUAAGUAUGAUUAUAAACUAAGCAAAUUAAAAAAUAUGCACUUUUUUCUGUAUCGACCCAUCUAUGAAAUUAAGAUAAAACUACCGCUACAUGGCCUUAUGUUCUUGAUAAAAUAACAUAUACAGGGUAGGUAAAUCAGUAGUUCCUGUUUGGUCCAAUAGGAUGAAAUCUAUAUAUAUUGCAGCAUUCGGAGAGUUAUCUUCCCAAAUGAUUUAACAGGUGUCGCUACUGGCAAAUAGGUCCUAUCAGUGUGGUGUGCUCUCGGCUUUUAGCAUAGUGUUAAAACCUUUCAGGAGUUUCAAACACCUGAAAGUGAUUGAAUUAUUUAAAAAGAUAUAGUUAUGUAAUUUAUCAAUAUCAUCCAUUUGAUAACUGGUUCUUCUGUUUUUAACAUAAAUUUAAAGCCUUGUAGAAUUUUCAUUAUUUCAAAAUGCUGGCCAGUAAUAUAUAACUGAUAUAUUGUUGUAGCAUUUAUUUAAAGCAAGUCACAUUUCCAUUUAAUUUUUUAGCAAAGUGGGGCUAGUAUAUUUAGCUAGCUAGUUGAAAAUAUUGCUGAAAUUUACCAUUGUUUCAAAUAGAUGGUGAUUACUUUACAUAUUAAGUUUUCAUUAACUACUAGAUCUUUUAUGGUACUUCUGAAUUGAUGUUCACUACAUCAAGGGCGUAGCAGCUGGGGCGGCAGGGGCGGCACCCGCCGCCCCAAUAUUUCGAGGAGCGGCGAAAUGCCGAACUCGUAAAUUUUUGAAAAGGCUUGAAAAUAUAAUUGAAAAUAAAUACAGCGGUCAUCCAUUUAUCAUGAAGUGCAUCGGCGACUGAUAUGUACACAGAAUCUUGUCAUAUCACCGACACCUUGCUAGAUCACCUUGGUGACAGGGUAUUGUACAAAAUCGAUAAUCCGCAACGACCAAGGUCGCCGUAUUUUCACGCCCCGCAGACUCGGAUUAUAGGCAAUACAUUAAUUUUAUUAAUGAAAGUGAAUCGUUUUUAAUUGUUUUCUGCCAAAAUUGCAAUUAAUUGGAAUUAAUGUUGUGUCUCAAAUUCUCCUGACAAAGGAAAGUAUCUUGAGUAAAACACAAACGCAAAUCGGGAUCUUUAGAUGUCUUUACCUAAAAUAUAUUAAAUUAAAUAUUUUUGACACUUAAACAUGUUGUUUGAAAAUCAAAGGCACCAAUCAUAAUGAUUAAAUUCAACGCAUAAAAUGUAGAAAAAUCCUCGUAGAUUUUACAGAUCUAGUAAAAUUAACAAGUAUUACAGCUUCUACAUAAAAAUAUAAAAGGCCAAUCAGCCUCGCAAUUUUGCAUUUCCAAAUCGAUCAUUUGGUAAAAAGAACCCUCAAUGGUUCAAAGAAAACAGUGAUUUGCGUUUUACCUUUAUAAUGCCUUUUAAUGACUAAAAUGCUAUAAGGAUUGGAUUACCCCUUUAAGUCAGGGUCUUGUGCUCCAUCCCCUAUUUAGACAUUACUGGUUUUACUCUGGCAAGACAUUGUCCGUAUCUAACAUGGUACCGCCAUUACAGUGUUUGAACAUAGUAAACUGUAAAUAGGGGUGAAAACUCGAAAAAAAACAAGUAUGUUCAACAGAUACUGAGCAGUCCAAGAAGUCGCCAGAUUGCACCAUUUACUCUAGCUAUAUGCAAAAUUUUCCCAGGGCCACCCCUGACCCCGUUCAUAGGAGGGGGACACCCCCUCCCAAACCCACCCCUCCGCCGCCCCAAUGCUUAAAUCGUCCCUACGUCCCUGUACAUACUAAGUAUUGCUUCAGUAAGUUUGAUUAAUUGAAGUGACUUUAAUAUAGUACAAUGAUAUUUUAAGAAUUGCCAUGUUAAAGGUGUCAUUGUGAAGUUUUCAGCCACCUUGAUCUUUAUUUAGGGAACUGAAGCCAUUGUUGCUACACUGUAUCUAUUUUUAGCUCAUCUGAUUUUUUGAAAAAAAAUGAUGAGUUAUUGUCAUCACUUGAGCGGUUGUCGGCGUCGGCGUCGGCGUUGCCUGGUUAAGUUUUAUGUUUAGGUCAGCUUUUCUCCUAAACUAUCAAAGCUAUUGCUUUGAAACUUGGAAUACUUGUUCACCAUCAUAAGCUGACCCUGUAUAGCAAGAAACAGAACUCCAUCUCGCUUUUUGCAAGAUUUAUGGCCCCUUUUGUACUUAGAAAAUACCAGAUUUCUUGGUUAAGUUUUAUGUUUAGGUCAACUUUUCUCCUAAACUAUCAAAGCUAUUGCUUUGAAACUUGGAAUACUUGUUCACCAUCAUAAGCAGACCCUGUACAUCAAGAAACAUAACUCCAUCUUGCUUUUUGCAAGAUUUAUGGCCCCUUUUGUACUUAGAAAAUAUCAGAUUUCUUGGUUAAGUUUUAUGUUUAGGUCAACUUUUCUCCUAAACUAUCAAAGCUAUUGCUUUGAAACUUGGAAUACUUGUUCACCAUCAUAAGCAGACCCUGUACAUCAAGAAACAUAACUCCGUCUUGCUUUUUGCAAGAUUUAUUGCCCCUUUUGGACUUAGAAACUUUUUUUUUUAUGGUUAAGUUUUAUGUUUAGGUCAGCUUUUAUCCUAAACUAUCAAAGCUAUUGCUUUAAAACUUGCAACACUUGUUCACCAUCAUAAGUUGACCCUGUACAGCAAGAAACAUAACUCCAUCCUGCUUUUUGCAAGAUUUAUGGCCCCUUUUGGACUUAGAAAAUAUCAGAUUUCUUGGUUAAGUUUUAUGUUUAGGUCAACUUUUCUCCUAAACUAUCAAAGCUAUUGCUUUGAAACUUGGAAUACUUGUUCACCAUCAUAAGCAGACCCUGUACAUCAAGAAACAUAACUCCAUCUUGCUUUUUGCAAGAUUUAUUGCCCCUUUUGGACUUAGAAACUUUUUUUUUUUAUGGUUAAGUUUUAUGUUUAGGUCAGCUUUUAUCCUAAACUAUCAAAGCUAUUGCUUUAAAACUUGCAACACUUGUUCACCAUCAUAAGCUGACCCUGUACAGCAAGCAACAUAACUCCAUCCGGCUUUUUGCAAUAAUUAUUGCCCCUUUUGGACUUAGAAAAUCAUUUUCUUGGUUGAGUAUUAUGUUUAAGUCAACUUUUCUCAUAAACUAUCAAAGCUAUUGCUUUAAAACUUGCAACAGUUUUUCACCAUCAUAAGUGGACACUGAACAUUAAGAAACAUAACUCUAUCCUGCUUUUUGCAAGAAUGAUGGCCCUUUUUAGACUUAGAAAAUCAUGGGUAGGACAAUAUUUCUAUUACACAAAAAAAAUCAGAUGAGCGUCAGCACCCGCAAGGCGGUGCUCUUGUUUUAUAUGUGUCGAAAACUGAGAUACUAUAUAUGAUUCACAUGUAUAAAUUUUUAUUUGUUUCGGGUUAUAGAUCACAGUAGUAUGUUGUUUUGUGAUUGGUAUUUCAGUGCCAUACUGAAAAUGUUAAAACACAAGUCAUAUCUUUUGGUUAGUGGGGUGUAUUACUGCUCUCCAAUACAUUUUGGUUCGAUCAUGUCACCUAGUUGUCACUUUGGCAAUCAUGUAAUCAAUUUAGAUAAUUUUAGCUACCAAAUCAAGCUCCAAUGUUGUACUUGCUCUUAUUGCUUUAAAGAAACGUUACACAUUUCAGUGUACUGUAUCACAAAACAUAAAUGUAGUGUAGUUUUAAGUGGUAAUGUUGUAUGUUGUACAUAUAUCUCCUAUAACUCUGUUUACAGUGGCAGUACUCAUUUGUAUUGUAUAAAUGUUCAUCUGUGCUGAUGAUGAUAAAUAAACAAAUAAAUAAAUACAGUGUCACUGUAAAUUUGAAAUGUUUCAAGAAAUGUUUUUACAAGAGAGAGUGAAAUAAGAAAUCAUCGUUCAGUUUUUUUUCUAAUGGAAGUAAGCUAUGAAUAUAUUUGAACAAAGAUCAGUCACUUUUUUGGUUUGGACCUGUCAAAAAUAAUGAUGGAUGUGACUUUGACUGAAAAAAGAUCACAAACUGGAAACCCUGGAAAAUGGAAUUAUGUUGUUUGAAUAAAUUAUUCUCUUUUUUUUUCAAUUUUGUAAAAAAAAAAUUCUUUGAAUGACCUCUUAAAAAUGUCGAUAGUUCUUUUCACCAAAGGCCUGUAAAUUGACAUGGAUUUUAUUAAAUUUUCAUAUUGUUUAAUUGCUUUUACAUAAAUUUUAAACUGAUUAAUAUAUUGUGAAAAUGAUACACUUGAGCUAAUUAUAGGGAAUUUUUGUAUGUCAGACUUUGAAUUUUUGUAAUAUUGCACACCAACUGACAGUCGGUAUAUACAUGGAGGCUUGUUGUGUGCCGAAAUAAAAUGAUCUAAUUAUAUUAGUUCUACAGUAGAUAUUGAGUGUACAUGAAUAGAACAUACAGCAAAAAUAAUGGAGUGGCAAGCUUGAUCUUUUGGUGAAUCUGCUUUGAAAAUUCACAACAAUUCACCAUUUUCCUAAUAAGAGUCUGAUGUAACAUCAUAUUUUAAGGGUUUACUGUGUAAAAAAAUGUUGAUUUUGACAAAAGAUUCAACAGUUGUAAAAGUACCAGUAUUAUGUCAUGUAUUUUACUUAAAUUAUAACCUCAUGUACUGACUGGCCAAUGGCUAAAGUGAACAACUGAAAUUCUGGCUGAUUUUCCAACAAAUUUAAGAACUGUUCAUGUAAGAUGGUCUGUUAAUCUUGAGAAUGGAUUCAUACAAGACAUAAUUAUGAGAUUCUAAUUUACCAACAUGUACAUUUACUUAUUUAAAUAAAAAAAAAAUUGAAUUUUGAUAAUUUUCAAAAAGAAUUAAGAAAUAAAUUCUGAAAUUGCAGUGUGUAAUUACCGAAGAUCAACUUGCCUUGAAAUGUGCAUGGUCAGGGGUUGUCUGAAUAAAUUUACUUAAGACUUAAGUCUACAUAAGGAUCUGUCCUUCCAAAGAAAUAUUUAUAUUUUAUGAUUGAAUCUUGCAAAAUAUUGCAGAAACAUCUGUCCUGUAGAUCAUUUGAUAUAAUAUGCUUUUUAAAACAAAAGUUUGUUCUUUGUUCAGAAACCAAAUAUCAAAAUUUCAUCAUAAAUCUGCUGGUUGGGUAUGUUAGUAAUGGAGCAUUGUAAUUUUGUUUAUGAUUAAGUUAAUGUAAAUUGACUACAGAAUUGUUCAUUAACAGGGCUCUGGAAAUACUGAAACUCAAUUUGGUCCGAAAUGAAAUCACAACAUUGGCGCUACCCCACAGCAUUAAAAGUACUUGAACACAUUGGCUGUUAUAAGUUCCAUGAAUAUAUGUAUAUUUCUUAAUGUUUUAGUAGGAUAUUUCUCAGUCUUGGAUAUACGUUGUUGUUUGUUCAAUAUGUUUAAAUGAAAAAUAUAAAUGACUAAAUAAAUGUACAUA